rnacentral:rRNA from 1 species
AUGCAUCAACAAAUUGGAUCAUUUUGUAACAAUUUCCUUGUGAUGGCACUUCCCAAGAACAUACUGAGGGUUGUACACUCCAUGGCCCUUGUAUUCAUGGGUAUUAUGAUUUUCUCCAAUGUUUUCUCAUCAUGUGAUGCACCUGGAGAGGGCGACAUACAGUGUAAUAAAAUUGAGGAUUGCACAAUCACUGGAUGCAAGAAUAUGUGCAGAGAACAUGGUCUUGAUCCUUAUUCAGCUUACUGCUCAUUAGCACCGGGAGAUGAAAUGAAAUGUUGUUGCACCCCAGUCCCCCCAUUCCAUGAAUAA